UCCCCCCUUUUUCCCUUUAUUUUCCUUUUUCCCCCCUUUUUUCCCCCUUUUUUUUCCUUUAUUUUUUCCUUUAUUUUUCCUUUAUUUUUCCCUUUAUUUUCCCCCUUAUUUUCCCCCUUUAUUUCCCCCAUUUCCCUGACUGUGUCCGUCCGUCUGUCCGUCCCUUUUUCCCUCCUUUCCCCCCCUUUUUUCCCCCCUUUUUUUCCCUUUAUUUUUCCUUUCUUUUCCCCCUUUUUCCCCCCCUUUUUCCCCCCUUUUUUUCCUUUAUUUCCCCCAUUUCCCUGACUCUGUCCGUGUGUCCGUCCGUCCCUUUUUCCCUCCUUUCCCCCCCUUUUUUCCCCCCUUUUUUCCCUUUAUUUUUCCUUUCUUUUCCCCCUCUUUCCCCCCUUUUUCCCCCUUUUUUUCCUUUAUUUCCCCAUUUCCCUGACUGUGUCCGUCCGUCCCUUUUUCCCUCCUUUCCCCCCCUUUUUUUCCUUUUUUCCCCCCUUUUUUUCCCUUUAUUUUUCCUUUCUUUCCUCCCUCUUUCCCCCCCCUUUUUCCCCCUUUUUUUUCCCUUUAUUUCCCCAUUUCCCUGACUGUGUCCGUCCGUCUGUCCGUCCCUUUUUCCCUCCUUUCCCCCCCUUUUUCCCCCCUUUUUCCCCCCUUUUUUUCCCUUUAUUUUUCCUUUCUUUUCCCCCUAUUUUCCCCCCUUUUUCCCUCUUUUUUUCCUUUAUUUCCCCAUUUCCCUGACUCUGUCCGUGUGUCCGUCCGUCCCUUUUUCCCUCCUUUCCCCCCCCUUUUUCCCCCCUUUUUUCCCUUUUUUUUCCUUUCUUUUCCCCCUAUUUUCCCCCCUUUUUCCCUUUAUUUUCCCCCUUUAUUCCCCCUUUAUUUCCCUGACGGUGUCCGUGUGUCCGUCUGUCCGCAGGGGUCUGUGAGUGUUUCCAGCCGGCCACGGCCGCGGGGUUCAGGGUGGUGGCGCACACGGUGCCCGAGCUGCCCAACGCGGGGCUGCAGCGCCACCUCGAGCAGUUCUCGCUUUGAACUCCCCAGGUGCUGCUGAGGGAGCACAAGCUGCGCUCGUACUCGCUCAACGCCGUCAGCGCCCAUUUCCUGCACGAGCAGAAGGAGGAGGUUCCCCACGGCAUCAUCACCGAGCUGCAGGUACAUCAGUCUGAGGAACACACACAAUGUGACCUACAGAGGAAGCAUCCUUAAAGGAAUGACCACAAUUCUGGAAGACAGAAUGUUUACUGAUCAUAGCUCCAGUCCAGGGUGCAAUGAGAUCUCCAAAUUCUUCCUUACUUUUCCCAUGGGAUCAGCUGUGCUGGCACUCCAUAGUCACCUGAACUUUAAUGCUGUGCUACUCAUUAGGAUAACACAGUAGUUAAUUAUUAGGUAUAGUCAUUGAUUGAUUAAUCAGUUCAAAUAGAAUCUAUUAAAGACAAAUAACAUCAAACUGUGGAGUUUGUACUUACUCUCUGUGAUGAAUAAAAACAGAAUCCCCACAGCUCUAAUUUAUGGAAACUGCCUCUGAUUGACAGAGUCUAUACUCCUCUCACAACUAAUUUUCCCCCAAUGAUUCUCAAAAAGUAUUUUCUUUCUUUACAAUAAAAUAUUUUCAUAAUACAA